rnacentral:rRNA from 1 species
UACGUAGGCGGAAAAUUAAGUCAGUAGUGAAAUCCUGCAGCUUAACUGUAGAACUGUUAUUGAUACUGGUUUUCUUGAAUAUAGUUGAGGUAGGCGGAAUGUGUAAUGUAGCGGUGAAAUGCUUAGAUAUUACACAGAACACCGAUUGCGAAGGCAGCAUACUAAGCUAUGAUUGACGCUGAGGUACGAAAGCGUGGGGAGCGAACAGGAUUAGAUACCCUGGUAGUCC